CACACCCGUGUAGCUAAUGUUGUCCAACUUAUUAUCCGCCAAGUGGAGGAAACCCACGAUUCCACCUGAAGAGAAAUAACUCCCCGCCCUCACCUCUCCUCUUUCUUCGACUAUGCUUUCAAGGAAAAAAAAAAUCAAACUUCGAAACUGUUUACGCAGAGAAGACAAAUCUUCCAAGCAAGCUGGGAUUGGUGUAGAAUUAGUUCAUUUGGAAUAAGGAAAUCCAUCAAUUUCUUCCUUCUCUGCAAGACUUCAUCGAUUUUGAUCUGAAAUUGUAUCUCUCAAGCUGGAAGAUGACGACCCCCAACACCAAAGAAAUUAAGAGGGGUUGCGAAGUUAAACUUCGUUGCCAAGCUGAAAAAAGGCGAGAAAGUGCCUCUGGAAUUUUUCCAGCAUGAACCAGCUGGCCUGAACACAAGUAAGAUCUCGACUUACUGGGGAAAACUGGCACAAAAUGGAGAAAAAUUCCUUUUUGACAUUCAUGACUGGUCUGAAAUGCCAGAGAAGGAGGACAAAUUCGAAAAAUCAAUUAAAGAGCUUAAGGUAAAGAAAAUUAUCUUAAAUAAUAUAUCAGUUAUGUAAUAGAUGACUAAAUUUUAACUGAUGAUUGUUUUAGAAUGUUUUUGUUUAUUAUGAUGCGAUCAAUGUUUGAGUGGAGAAGAAAAUCCAUGAAAAAUGGAAUGCAAACAAACAUAAUAUGAUGGUGCAGCAUUGCAAUGAGGAAAAGACGGUUGCACAAAACAAAGCUAAAAAUAGUUAAUGAUACUCAGUAGGAAAAUAUGUGUACAUAUUGGCAUUCACUUGAACUCAAGAUCUUGGUGUACUGUAUAGAGAUGAUGAUGCAGAAGAAAGCACACAGAGAGGCUGUGUUUUAGAAAAAUACAAAUGUUAUAGCUGAAGGCAAUCAUGAUCAGAUGGAGGCCUUAGAAAGGGAAGAUUUAGAAGAGGAUGGUUCCGAUAAUGGUAUUUCAAUCCAAAAGUAAACAUCUGAACGGGGACAAGUAUUCUCAAAUUAUGAGAGCUGAUUACCAGGUCGGAUUCUGUGAUGUUUGCUCUGGUAUUAGAGUAACCAAGCUUAAGGUGGCAUCUUCUACAAACAGUGGCCAAAACAAAGAGGAAAAUGCGCCGUUGAGAGAUGAAGUUAAGAAACUGAGAGAGGAUCAGGUUGAUAUGCAGAAGAUCGUGCAAGAAGAAUGUCUUCAGAUGGAUAAAACUGUAAUGGAGAUGAAUAAGGCUAAUGAGGAAUCACAGAAGAUAUAGAUGCCAUAUUGCUACUACUAACUAGUGGGGGCAUCCUUCCAUAACAGCUGCUAUAGAAUUAUGAUCUUGCUAGAUUAAUCCAAGGUAAUCUACAACCAUCACAAAUAAUUGGAUCACUUAAUUAAAUACUAAACUAUUCUGCAAAAUUCAGAGAGCAUCAUGUUAGUUGCAUUAACUAGAAUGACAUUGAAUAAAAUUAAUAUGAUUAGUUUGUUGUUAUUGUAUGUUUGAGAGUCGUAGGUGUUUCAAUAUAUUUUUUUGAUAAGCUAAACUACUAUGUAAAGUUCUAGUUGAUGGAAUCAGCUGAACAAACUACUAUGUAAAGUUCUAGUUGAUGGCAUCAGCUGAACUAAAGUAUGAUGAUUUCUGAACUCAAAACAGACAAUUAGUCUAUGGUGUAUCAGAUCACGACUCGUCGUGAAACCCAAGCUACUACUGUAUACAAUGGUUGUCUAUCUCUAUUACUAGCUAACUUGUUCGUUGAAUAAGAAUCAACUUGUUUUGAUCACCCUGAA